CAAAAGGCCAUCCAGUACAGGAUACCACAAGGCGAUCUCGUAGAGAGUACCAAAAGGCCAUCCAAUACAGGGUACCACAAGGCCAUCCAGUACAGG